AUGUGCCUUAUAUAGGCAGUUUUACGUCACUUUCCUAUGUCUCAUCUGUACCAAUGAUAGCUUAGCUUGACUUAGGACAGCCCAGGGGUCUGUCUGCUUUUUCUGCAUAUGGCUGUUGAAGGCCAUUUCCUCAGAUAAUUAAAUCUUUGAAUAUGAUGCAGGGAUUUCUGAUCUUGUUAAACAAAGUAGGGUGGAGAAAUGUAUAGUUUUCAAGACUUGAUUCUGUUAACCCAAGUAUCUCCAUUGUUACUACUCAGGAAAUAGCUAAAUCAGAUCUCCUAAAGUAUGGCCUGAGUAGGGUGGAGUAGUUUUAAAAUUCACAAGGUGGAGAGAAUGGUGUCCUGAAAACCUAAAGAGAAGGGAAUGAUCAACAGUUAAAGGUUUCAGAGAAGGUCAAAGAGAAUGAGAGUGAGAGGAGAGAAAAUGGAGGCAUUGGUAGACAGUCUUUUCAAGGAAUUUAGCUAUAAAGGACUGAAGAGAUAUAGAAAAAUAGUAGGAACAAAAGGAUCAAGUCAGGUCUGUUUGUUUUUUCCUGGAUAAGAGCUCCACACGUUGUUUGGCUGUUGGCCUUAGUGUUCAAAGAGGACCCAAACAACAGUGCUAUCCUGGGGUCAAUGUAUGGUGUCUAACUAUGGUUGAUCAGACCUAUAUGAGUUCUGAAGGCUUUACCACAGGCUGAGCACAAAUAACCCAUAUAAUCAUUUGGGAUGAAGAUGAAGAUCUCUAAAUUUGUGUCUUUUGAGCUACUUUGCUCAUAGAGGACAGUGCCCUCUUUGAUGUAGACAUGCCAUGCUGGACAGUCUUGUGCCAGUGUUCACCAUGUCUUACAAUCAGUACCAAAGUUCUUCAGAGAGACGCUGAGAGUGUCUUUGUAUUGAUUUUCCUGUCCUCCCUGGAAGUGCCUGCCUUGUGUGAGUUCUCCAUAACAAUCUUUUAGGCAAAUGUACUUCUGGCAUUGAAACAAUGUGGCCAGCCCAUGUUGGAGUUGUGCUCUCUGUAACAGAGUCUGAAUGAUCAGCAGUUCUGCUCAAGAAAGAACCUCAGUGUCUAGGACCUUUUCUUGCCAGGUCAUCUUCAGAAUCUCCCUGAGACAAUUCAAAUGCAAGUGAUGCUGUUUCCUGGGAUGAUGCUGAUAGACUGCCCACCUUUCACAGGCAUACAACAAUGGAGUCAUCACAAUGGCUCUGUAAACCUUCAGUUUGGUAGGGAGCCCAAUACAUCUUCUCCCCCACAUUUUCUUUCAGAGCCUGCCUAACCUGAGCUAGCUCUGGUAAUACAUAAUCAAUGCUAUCUGUGUAUCUCUAAAAAUUAUACCAUUAAGAAAGAAGAGGAUGCCAGGAUGCUGUGUGUGCUUAGGGAAGACGACCUUAGAGACAGAGAAGUCUUUUCCUCUACAAAGAGCAAAAUGCCUGUUUCAAAGAAGUAGGAUGGAGGAGUUAUGUCUAGAGGAGUCACUGGGAUGAAGAAGCCACCAAACCUGAUGCAAUUAGGAUUUGUUAACAGUGACAUUGUCUCCAGAAGGAAGGACCUACUCUUCCCUCUCUCUUCUGCCCUAACAAAACCAGUGCUGUCAGGCUCUGAUUAAGGCAUUUCAAGAAGGAAUUAGCAUGCUAGAACCUCCUGAAAGGAGGGCAUCGAGCAGUUAAGUCAACUGGACACCAUCCCAUUGGAAAGAGAUUGAGGGCACUAUGAGCAUGUAAAAGACAGGAAACUGAGUUUUGAAUUGUGGGCUUGACACUUUGUCACCUGGUAACCUUAACCAAGACCCUUCAACUCUCUGAUACUCAGUAUCCCUGUCUAAAAAAUGGGAAUAAAAACAUGUGUUCUAUCAAA